UCCUCUGUAGUUCAGUCGGUAGAACGGCGGACUGUUAAUCCGUAUGUCACUGGUUCGAGUCCAGUCAGCGGAC
rnacentral:tRNA from 1 species